UCCUGCCGACAGCAUGAGCAGUGGCUUGUUCAGAGGUGGAAGCGCAAUGCUGUGCUGUGCUUUAAAUGUGGCUGGAGUCAUGGACCGGGCAGAGGAUGUUGGUAAAGCAGUGGAGAGGGGCAGAAGCAGUGUGGGACCAGCUUCUGUUUGCCAAGCCACACUGAGGAGUGAAAGGAAGAGCCCUGAGAGUUGUGUUGCUCCUUUGAAAGUGGCCCUAGGACUGUAAACCAAAAGUCAUGGAUUCUCUGCAAGAUUUUCCACUGAUCUCAGUCAUUUG
rnacentral:lncRNA from 1 species